GACGAACGCUGGCGGCGUGCUUAACACAUGCAAGUCGAACGGAAAGGCCCUGCUUUUGUGGGGUGCUCGAGUGGCGAAAGGGUGAGUAACACGUGAGUAACCUGCCCUUGACUUUGGGAUAACUUCAGUAAACUGGGGCUAAUACCGGACAUGAGCUCCUGCUGCAUGGUGGGGGUUGGAAAGUUUCGGCGGUUGGGGAUGGACUCGCGGCUUAUCAGCUUGUUGGUGGGGUAGUGGCUUACCAAGGCUUUGACGGGUAUCCGGCCUGAGAGGGUGACCGGCAACAUUAGGACUGAGAUGCGGCCCAGACUCCUACGGGAGGCAGCAGUGGGGAAUAUUGCACAAUGGGCGGAAGCCUGAUGCAGCAACGCCGCGUGCGGGAUGACGGCCUUCGGGUUGUAUACCGCUUUCGCCUGUGACGAAGCGUGAGUGACGGUAAUGGGUAAAGAAGCACCGGCUAACUACGUG
rnacentral:rRNA from 1 species